GCCUACGGGGGGCAGCAGUGAGGAAUUUUGCACAAUGGGGGAAACCCUGAUGCAGCAACGCCGCGUGGAGGAUGAAGCCCCUUGGGGCGUAAACUCCUUUCGAUCGGGACGAUUAUGACGGUACCGGAAGAAGAAGCACCGGCUAACUCUGUGCCAGCAGCCGCGGUGAAACGUAGGUGGCAAGCGUUAUCCGGAUUUACUGGGCGUAAAGCGUGUGCAGGCGGAGGUCCAAGUGGUGUAUGAAAUCGCCCGGCUUAACCGGGCGGGGUUAUGCCAGACUGGGCUUCUGGAGGACAGGAGAGGGGCGUGGAAUUCCGGGUGUAGUGGUGAAAUGCGUAGAGAUCCGGAGGAACCCCAGCGGCGAAGGCGGCGCCCUGGCCUGUUACUGACGCUCAGACACGACAGCAUGGGGAGCGAACGGGAUUAGAUACCCCCGU
rnacentral:rRNA from 1 species